rnacentral:rRNA from 1 species
AGAGUUUGAUCCAUGGCUCAGGAUGAACGCUAGCGGCAGGCUUAACACAUGCAAGUCGAGGGGUAGAGUAGCAAUACUUGAGACCGGCGCACGGGUGCGUAACGCGUAUGCAAUCUACCUUUUACAGAGGGAUAGCCCAGAGAAAUUUGGAUUAAUACCUCAUAGUAUAACGACCUGGCAUCAGGAUGUUAUUAAAGUCACAACGGUAAAAGAUGAGCAUGCGUCCCAUUAGCUAGUUGGUAAGGUAACGGCUUACCAAGGCUACGAUGGGUAGGGGUCCUGAGAGGGAGAUCCCCCACACUGGUACUGAGACACGGACCAGACUCCUACGGGAGGCAGCAGUGAGGAAUAUUGGUCAAUGGGCGCAAGCCUGAACCAGCCAUGCCGCGUGCAGGAUGACGGUCCUAUGGAUUGUAAACUGCUUUUGUACAGGAAGAAACACUCCCUCGUGAGGGAGCUUGACGGUACUGUAGAAUAGGAUCGGC